rnacentral:rRNA from 1 species
UACGUAGGUGGCAAGCGUUGUCCGGAUUCAUUGGGCGUAAAGAGCUCGUAGGCGGCUUGGCAAGUCGGGUGUGAAACCUCCAGCUCAACCUGGAGACGCCACCCGAUACUGCCAUGGCUAGAGUCCGGUAGGGGACCACGGAAUUCCUGGUGUAGCGGUGGAAAUGCGCAGAUAUCAAGCAGAACACCUGCGGCGAAGGCGGCCUUCUGGACGAUGAUCGAUGCGCUGGAGACGCGAAAGCGUGGGGGAGCAAACAGG